rnacentral:rRNA from 1 species
UGGGGAAUAUUGGACAAUGGGCGAAAGCCUGAUCCAGCCAUGCCGCGUGAGUGAUGAAGGCCUUCGGGUUGUAAAGCUCUGUCGUGGGGGAAGAAGUUCUGACGGUACCCCACAAGAAAGCACCGGCUAACUCCGUGCCAGCAGCCGCGGUAAUACGGAGGGUGCAAGCGUUGCUCGGAUUUACUGGGCGUAAAGCGCACGCAGGCGGUCUGGAAGGUCGGGUGUGAAAGCCCGGGGCUCAACCCCGGAACUGCACUCGAAACCGCCAGACUUGAGGUCGAGAGAGGAGGGUAGAAUUCCUGGUGUAGAGGUGAAAUUCGUUGAUAUCAGGAGGAAUACCGGUGGCGAAGGCGGCCCUCUGGCUCGAUUCUGACGCUCAUGUGCGAAAGCGUGGGGAGCA